UCUCCGUAGGUGAACCUGCGGAAGGAUCAUUAUUGUAUAACCGAGGUGCGAGGGCUGUCGCUGACCCGAAAGGUCGUGCACGCCCGAGUGCCCUCACACACAUCCAUCUCACCCCUAUGUGCACCACCGCGUGGGUCCCCCUUUGGCUUGUUCGGAGGGGGGCUUACGUUUUCACACAAACUUUGUAUGCAGUGUAGAAUGUAUUUUUUGUUUUUGCGAUCACGCAAUCAAUACAACUUUCAACAACGGAUCUCUUGGCUCUCGCAUCGAUGAAGAUCGCAGC
rnacentral:misc_RNA from 1 species